CCCAGACUCCUACGGGAGGCAGCAGUGGGGAAUAUUGCACAAUGGGGGGAACCCUGAUGCAGCGACGCCGCGUGGGUGAAGGAGCGUUUCGGCGCGUAAAGCCCUAUCGGCAGGGAAGAAGGAGGACGGUACCUGACUAAGAAGCCCCGGCUAACUACGUGCCAGCAGCCGCGGUAAUACGUAGGGGGCAAGCGUUAUCCGGAUUUACUGGGUGUAAAGGGGGCGCAGACGGCAGCGCAAGCCAGGAGUGAAAGCCCGGGGCCCAACCCCGGGACUGCUCUUGGAACUGCGCGGCUGGAGUGCAGGAGGGGCAGGCGGAAUUCCUGGUGUAGCGGUGAAAUGCGUAGAUAUCAGGAGGAACACCGGUGGCGAAGGCGGCCUGCUGGACUGCGACUGACGUUGAGGCCCGAAAGCGUGGGGAGCAAACAGGAUUAGAUACCCGCGUAAUC
rnacentral:rRNA from 1 species